rnacentral:tRNA from 1 species
CAGAUAUAGUUUAAUGGUAGAAUGUGGGCUUCCCAAGCCUAAAAUACGGGUUCGAUUCCCGUUAUCUG